rnacentral:tRNA from 1 species
GGGAAAGUGACUCAGUGGUAGAGUGCUUGCCUUGUAUGCAUGAGGCCCUGGGUUCAAUUCCUCAGCACCA